rnacentral:rRNA from 1 species
CAAUGGGCCAAAGCCUGAUGCAGCCAUGCCGCGUGAGUGAAGAAGGCCUUAGGGUUGUAAAGCUCUCUCGCCAGGGAAGAUAAUGACGGUACCUGGWAAAGAAGCCCCGGCUAACUCCGUGCCAGCAGCCGCGGUAAUACGGAGGGGGCUAGCGUUGUUCGGAAUUACUGGGCGUAAAGCGCGCGUAGGCGGAUUGAUCAGUUGGGGGUGAAAGCCCGGAGCUCAACUCCGGAACUGCCUCCAAUACUGUCAGUCUUGAGUCCGAGAGAGGGUGGUGGAAUUCCCAGUGUAGAGGUGAAAUUCGUAGAUAUUCGGAAGAACACCAGUGGCGAAGGCGGCCACCUGGCCCGGUACUGACGCUGAGGUGCGAAAGCGUGGGGAGCAAACAGGUUAGAUACCCUGGUAGUCCACGCCGUAAACGAUG